UACAGGGCGAAAGGGAACAUGAAAAAGAUGGGAAUGUCCCUGGAUAUAGGCAGCUCCAGAGAGGGAGACAGUCUGUCCUUGAAUCAUUACUAUUAUCCCUGCACAAUUUUCUUGGAUUUGGAGAAAGCUAUAGGUAAUAUACAGAUUUAUAAUGCUUAAGUCUUGGCCAAUAUGACAACAAUGGGAACAGAAACAUCAACAUGCCUGACCAUUGCUUUCAAAAUAUGUAUCUGUACUGAUAAGAACAUAAGACAAUUAUGGGAAGGUGGUGAUCCAAACUUUCAAAAAAACUCAGAUUAAGAAAUACUUUUACCAUUAACAUUUAAGUAAUACUAUUCUGUAGUUAUGGAAAUGUGUGAUUACUAAAAAAAAGAAAAAAAAAAGAAAAAAAGAGGGAGACUGACAUAGUGAAUUUGCUUUACAUUUAUUGGUAGCAUUUUAUUGCUUGUAUUUUAAUGUAAUCAUGUAAUAUAUAGUCUUCAUAGCAUAAUAUGAAUGCUUUUAAGCUGGGCCUUUCAGACAUUAUGACAAAGUUAGCAAGGUCACGUCAUCAUCAGUAAAGUUUCUAGAAUACAGAAGCAUUAAUUGCUUUGGUUGAUUUAAAAAUAAAGUGAUUAAUUUUGCUCUCCAAUUUCCUACCUGUGUGCACCUCAGUUAUUAGUAUGUGUUGGCAUAUUGUCCUCUAAUCAAAUUUUUCAAGCCAUCUUUAUUAAGAAGUCAGUAAAACAACGUAUUGAAAUGCAGAUUGCAUUGAUUUGCUCCAAGUUAUUGCAAGGUAAGAGGAAACAGUUAUCUUAGGGUAAAUCAAUAUAAUCUACAUUAAAGUACAUUGUCUCUUAGAGUGCCAGGAAAUAUUCAGUGAUCUCCAUUAUAAAAGUGGUCAUUGUGACCACCUUAUGUGGCCUGUCCUUAAAUUUAUGUCCCUUGCUCCUUAAGGUAAGCAAGAUUGUAAACUUUCUCAGAACCUAAAUUUAGUUUCCACUGAGUUUCCUCUCAGUGCUUCUAGUUUCUAGUCAGACAGGGAAUCUCACUGCUUGGUUAAUGUUAUCAUAAAGAAAUGUGAAUAUCAGAGUUCUAAAACAUCAUAUCUUUAAAGUAAGAAUGUCUUUAUAUCACUAAUAUUCCAAAAUGUAUAUGUUUAUUAUGAUUUUGGUUACUAUGAAAUCAUGGCUUUAUAAAAUAUUAGCAUCUCAAAA
rnacentral:lncRNA from 10 species